rnacentral:rRNA from 1 species
GACGAACGCUGGCGGCGUGCUUAACACAUGCAAGUCGAACGGUAAGGCUCCAGCUUGCUGGGGUACACGAGUGGCGAACGGGUGAGUAACACGUGGGGGACCUGCCCUGCACUUCGGGAUAAGCCUGGGAAACUGGGUCUAAUACCGGAUAGGACCAUGGUGUGGAUACUGUGGUGGAAAGUUUUUUCGGUGUGGGAUGGGCCCGCGGCCUAUCAGCUUGUUGGUGGGGUAAUGGCCUACCAAGGCGGCGACGGGUAGCCGGCCUGAGAGGGUGGACGGCCACAUUGGGACUGAGACACGGCCCAGACUCCUACGGGAGGCAGCAGUGGGGAAUAUUGCACAAUGGGCGGAAGCCUGAUGCAGCGACGCCGCGUGGGGGAUGACGGCCUUCGGGUUGUAAACUCCUUUCACCAUCGACGAAGGGUUUCUGACGGUAGAUGGAGAAGAAGCACCGGCUAACUACGUG